AGAUCCAACACCAAAAGAAGGAAAAGCUCUCAAUUAUUUUCUCCCUUCCACACCUACAAGUCCAGCAGCAAGAAGGAAGCUUCUUUCAACUCUCUCAAGCUCUCUACCUCUCAUACUUUUUGGUCUAGCCACUAGGAAAGGGAAAUCCUUUCAUGUGUUACCAGUUCCCCAGGUUUAAGCUCCUUCGACUUUAGGCUCUCGGUUCCGCUGCUUUCAGGUAAGGGAUAAGUUAUAUGGGUAUUUGGUAAGUCAUGAGGUUAUUUUAAAGUAUAUUAUGCAUUAAAAUAUUUUUGAUUAGAGAUAUGGCAUAUAUUCAUUAUUUUGACAAAGAUAUGUUCGUGAGCUUUCGAAAACUUAUGUAUAGGAUUUAAACAUAUUGAUGCUAUUAUUGGUUCCACGAACAUGAUGUUUAAAGAAAAGAAUGGAAAUGCUAUUAUUAUGAAAUGUUAUGCAAGAUAAGAAAUUUCAGUAUGAUGUAAAGUAUGAAAUGUUUUCGGGUUAUGUCCUCUGGUAAUCUGAACUCAACUAGUAGGGGUUAAUUACUGGCUUUCCAUGGAAAAAUGUUAUAUGUUUGGCCAUUUAAAGUAGAGGAAAUGGGGCUGCCCGUAACUCUAGGCCAUUUAAAGUAGAGGAAAUGGGGUUGCCCGUAACUCUAAUCUGAAUAAGGCCUUCUCCCCAAUGUGUACGGAUGGCGGGGAGGAAUAAAACCUUGAGGAGAUGUGCCAUCUGGCCUCUCAAAGAGGACAAUAUCAUGCACACGAGGUCACCCAAAUGUGAUGAGGCCUUCUCUGUACAGCUUAUCAGACAUGGACUAACCAAUAUGUUAUGAACAGCUAUGUUAUGUUAUUAAUCAUGAGAGAAUUAUUUUGUUUAAA